AUGGCUUUGGUGUGGCUGCAAGCAGCAGUUGUUGACGGGUGCACUCCGAACCACCAGUUCUGUAUCGGUCCACCGUGUUGCAGUAAUUCGGUUUGCGUGUACGUUCCUGAGAAGGGUCCUACAUGCAGGGACAAAGGGACAAUCUGCUCGACAGGACCUGGAGGUGUACAGACAUGUCUAAAGCCUGGAAUGUAUAUUGACUUGUUUCGCUAGAAUUGGCGAGGACUUCUAAGUGUUUCAGGGAUACAAGCUGUCACGACAACGGUUAAAUGCCGAGUGUAUU